rnacentral:rRNA from 1 species
GAUGAACGCUAGCUACAGGCUUAACACAUGCAAGUCGAGGGGAAACGAUAGAGAAAGCUUGCUUUUUCUAGGCGUCGACCGGCGCACGGGUGAGCAACGCGUAUCCAACCUGCCCAUCACUUGGGGAUAACCUUGCGAAAGUAAGACUAAUACCCAAUGAUAUCUCUAGAAGACAUCUGAAGGAGAUUAAAGAUUUAUCGGUGAUGGAUGGGGAUGCGUCUGAUUAGCUUGUUGGCGGGGUAACGGCCCACCAAGGCGACGAUCAGUAGGGGUUCUGAGAGGAAGGUCCCCCACAUUGGAACUGAGACACGGUCCAAACUCCUACGGGAGGCAGCAGUGAGGAAUAUUGGUCAAUGGACGAGAGUCUGAACCAGCCAAGUAGCGUGCAGGAUAACGGCCCUAUGGGUUGUAAACUGCUUUUAUAAGGGAAUAAAGUGGGAGUCGUGACUCCUUUUGCAUGUACCUUAUGAAUAAGGACCGGCUAAUUCCGUGCCAGCCGCCGCAGUAA